GGGGGGGCGAGCGUUUGUUCGGAAUUACUGGGCGUAAAGGGCUCGUAGGCGGCCAGCUAAGUCGGACGUGAAAUCCCUCGGCUCAACCGAGGAACUGCGUCCGAUACUGAUUGGCUUGAAUCCGGGAGAGGGAUGCGGAAUUCCAGGUGUAGCGGUGAAAUGCGUAGAUAUCUGGAGGAACACCGGUGGCGAAGGCGGCAUCCUGGACCGGUAUUGACGCUGAGGAGCGAAAGCCAGGGGAGCAAACGGGAUUAGAUACCCCGGGUAGUCCUGGCCCUAAACGAUGAAUGCUUGGUGUGGCGGGUAUCGAUCCCCUGCCGUGCCGAAGCUAACGCAUUAAGCAUUCCGCCUGGGGGAGUACGGUCGCAAGGCUG
rnacentral:rRNA from 1 species